rnacentral:tRNA from 1 species
GCCCCUAUGGCGUAGUGGUAGCGCGUGUCACUUGUAUGAACAGGUAUGACAAGGUCUCUCGUUCGAUCCGGGAUGGGGGCA